AACGAACGCUGGCGGCAUGCCUAACACAUGCAAGUCGAACGAGACCUUCGGGUCUAGUGGCGCACGGGUGCGUAACGCGUGGGAAUCUGCCCUUGGGUUCGGAAUAACACAGAGAAAUUUGUGCUAAUACCGGAUGAUGUCUUCGGACCAAAGAUUUAUUGCCCAGGGAUGAGCCCGCGUAGGAUUAGGUAGUUGGUGGGGUAAAAGCCUACCAAGGCGACGAUCUUUAGCUGGUCUGAGAGGAUGAUCAGCCACACUGGGACUGAGACACGGCCCAGACUCCUACGGGAGGCAGCAGUGGGGAAUAUUGGACAAUGGGCGAAAGCCUGAUCCAGCAAUGCCGCGUGAGUGAUGAAGGCCUUAGGGUUGUAAAGCUCUUUUACCAGGGAUGAUGAUGACAGUACCGGGAGAAUAAGCCCCGGCUAACUCCGUGCCAGCAGCCGCGGUAACAC
rnacentral:rRNA from 1 species